rnacentral:rRNA from 1 species
CCUACGGGUGGCUGCAGUGGGGAAUAUUGCACAAUGGGGGAAACCCUGAUGCAGCGACGCCGCGUGAAGGAAGAAGUAUUUCGGUAUGUAAACUUCUAUCAGCAGGGAAGAAAAUGACGGUACCUGACUAAGAAACCCCGCCUAACUACGUGCCAGCAGCCGCGGUAAUACGUAGGGGUCAAGCGUUAUCUGGAUUUACUGGGUGUAAAGGGAGCGUAGGCGGGGUUGCAAGUCAGAAGUGAAAGCCCGGGGCUCAACUGCGGGACUGCUUUUGAAACUGUGUUGCUAGAUUGCAGGAGAGGUAGACGGAAUUCCUAGUGUAGCGGUGAAAUGCGUAGAUAUUAGGAGGAACACCAGUGGCGAAGGCGGUUUACUGGACUGUAAAUGACGGUGAGGCGCGAAAGCGUGGGGAGCAAACAGGAUUAGAUACCCGGGUAGUC